GACGAACGCUGGCGGCGUGCUUAACACAUGCAAGUCGAGCGGAAAGGCCCUUUCGGGGGUACUCGAGCGGCGAACGGGUGAGUAACAAGUGAGUAAUCUGCCAUUGGCUUUGGGAUAACUACCGGAAACGGUGGCUAAUACCGGAUACGACAACCUCAGGCAUCUGGUGGUUGGGGAAAGUUUUUUCGGCCAGGGAUGUGCUCGCGGCCUAUCAGCUUGUUGGUGUGGUAAUGGCCUACCAAGGCUUCGACGGGUAGCCGGCCUGAGAGGGUGACCGGCCACACUGGGACUGAGACACGGCCCAGACUCCUACGGGAGGCAGCAGUGGGGAAUAUUGGACAAUGGGCGAAAGCCUGAUCCAGCAACGCCGCGUGAGGGAUGACGGCCUUCGGGUUGUAAACCUCUUUCAGUACCGACGAAGCGCCGAUGAUGGUGGUGACGGUAGGUACAGAAGAAGCACCGGCCAACUACGUGCCAGCCGCCGCAGUAAUAC
rnacentral:rRNA from 1 species